AAAUUGAAGAGUUUGAUCAUGGCUCAGAUUGAACGCUGGCGGCAGGCCUAACACAUGCAAGUCGAACGGUAACAGGAAGCAGCUUGCUGUUUCGCUGACGAGUGGCGGACGGGUGAGUAAUGUCUGGGAAACUGCCUGAUGGAGGGGGAUAACUACUGGAAACGGUAGCUAAUACCGCAUAACGUCGCAAGACCAAAGAGGGGGACCUUCGGGCCUCUUGCCAUCGGAUGUGCCCAGAUGGGAUUAGCUAGUAGGUGGGGUA
rnacentral:rRNA from 2 species